CAUUUACAUAAAAUUGAUAGGUUAUAUGUAAGGUGUUUAUUAAAACAUGGAAAAUUUUGUGUUGUUAUCAUUAAUUGGUAAGUUAAUUAACUAAUAUGUUGGUUUUUUUUUUUCAUUUUGUUUUACAUUUAAACUCUUAAGGUAGUGUUUUCAGUUCAAUUUGCGGAUACAUGUAUUCAGACAUUUUCUAAUAAAUACUUGUACAAAUUUAACGUCAUGCGCUGCUUUUAAAAUUGUAAAAUGACCCAAAAUGAUUGAUCAUAUAUUUUGUUUAAAUAUUUACAAAUAUCAGAUAAUUUUAAAAGUUAAGAGGUUAUGCGCCUCGUGCAUCUUGAAAUCGUUGAUUGAAGUUUGUAUUUAUUAAUUUUGGUUUUGUUGGUUUUAUUUAAAAAAAAAAAAAGUAGUUACUGGAGUAGAAAAAGAUGAUUUUAUGUACUUUCUACUACCUAAUUGUCAGACCCAUUACAGAAAUUGAAAAAAACAAAAAGCAAACAUGGUUUUUAUUUUCAGAUUAAAAAACAAUUGAUCUCGACGUCAAGUAAGAAAAAAUACAAUGUUAACGACGACAGAACGCUUUUAACACCUUAGACAGUAACAGAAAAAACACAAAUUAAUUAAAACAUUUUAUUGUAUUUAUUAAUUUUUGUACUGUGGUGCAGAAGUAUUAUUUUUAUCUACUAAUAAUUUGAAAAAAAGUGAAGUUUCUGUAAUAGAAAACGGUGAUUUGUUUUGCAUUCUUCUACUAGAUUCAAUGAGACCCAUUUCAAACUAAAAAAUACCAACAAGUAUGUUUCUUCUUAUCAGAUGAACAAACAAUUCAUCAUUAAUUUUUUUUUUUUAUUUAUAAGCAGAUUAGUUUAGUUUAGUUUAAACAUAUUUAAUUAUAGUGGAUUGGGAAACAAGUUUUGCAACUUAUAUUAAUCCCUUUCCACUUUGCGGAUGCGAGUACUGCCUUGUAGCGGCAUUAGCCUGCUCUUUUUCGAAAUCUACAAGGGUGUCUUUAACGUGCAAGAGAUGUGGCUCUCUCUUAACACGGAUCAGCCAUUUAUCGUCCCUUUCUGACGGACUAUCAUCGUUUCCUCAAGACCAUACCCGCAAGCAGAUUAGCCACAUCAAACUAGUAUUCAAAAUAUGUUAGUAUACCAAAGGAGCCUGAAACCUUGUCUAAUACAAUAACAUGAUUAUGAAAUUUAAUUUGACCGACAGAAUUAUUAGAUUACUACCAGGCAAUGCGAUGAUGCAUUUUGAUAGUUUACGUAAAUUUAUCGUAGUUUUUUAUUCUUCCUCUGAAGGUAACGUGUAUGCAGGAUCUUGCUACUACGAACAUACGGAUCCAACUUACUAUACCUCUACUUAUGAGUACUGCCUUGCUGGCUGCUGUGGCGCCGAUAAACUUGGUGGAUUAAAACAUUGCUGUAACUCGACAGGGGCUACUAUCGGGAUUCUGAUUGCUAUAGUGGUCUUCGUGGCGUUGGUGCUCACAGCUUUAUACAUGUAUAGACGACGACGUAGACUUUUACUCG
rnacentral:lncRNA from 1 species